AUGAACGCUGGCGGCGUGGAUAAGGCAUGCAAGUCGAACGAUCAAUUUCCGCAAGGAGAUUGGUAGUGGCGAACGAGUUAGUAACACCUUGGUACAUACCUCAAAGUCGGGCACAACCAGCCGAAAGGCUGGCUAAUUCCCGAUAGUCUCGCAAGAGUAAAGUCGCAAGACGCUUUGAGAGUGGCCUAGGCCCUAUCAGCUAGUUGGUGAGGUAAUAGCUCACCAAGGCUAUGACGGGUAGGGGGCGUGAGAGCGCGACCCCCAACGAUGGGACUGAGACACGGCCCUUACACCUACGGGUGGCUGCAGUCGAGAAUAUUCGACAAUGGGCGAAAGCCUGAUCGAGCGACGCCGCGUGCGGGAAGAAGGCCUUCGGGUCGUAAACCGCUUUUACGAGGGAAAAAAUUUGAUUGUACCUCGCGAAUAAGAGGUUGCCAACUCUGU
rnacentral:rRNA from 1 species